AAUGGGCGCAAGCCUGAUCUAGCCAUGCCGCGUGAGUGAUGAAGGCCUUAGGGUCGUAAAGCUCUUUCGCCUGUGAAGAUAAUGACUGUAGCAGGUAAAGAAACCCCGGCUAACUCCGUGCCAGCAGCCGCGGUAAUACGGAGGGGGUUAGCGUUGUUCGGAAUUACUGGGCGUAAAGCGCGCGUAGGCGGACAUUUAAGUCAGAGGUGAAAUCCCAGGGCUCAACCCUGGAACUGCCUUUGAUACUGGGUGUCUUGAGUUCGAGAGAGGUGAGUGGAAUUCCGAGUGUAGAGGUGAAAUUCGUAGAUAUUCGGAGGAACACCAGUGGCGAAGGCGGCUCACUGGCUCGAUACUGACGCUGAGGUGCGAAAGUGAGGGGAGCAAACAGGAUU
rnacentral:rRNA from 1 species